CCUACGGGAGGCAGCAGUGGGGAAUUUUGGACAAUGGGCGCAAGCCUGAUCCAGCAAUGCCGCGUGCAGGAUGAAGGCCUUCGGGUUGUAAACUGCUUUUGUACGGAACGAAAAGGUCUGCCCUAAUACGGUGGGCUCAUGACGGUACCGUAAGAAUAAGCACCGGCUAACUACGUGCCAGCAGCCGCGGUAAUACGUAGGGUGCGAGCGUUAAUCGGAAUUACUGGGCGUAAAGCGUGCGCAGGCGGUUAUAUAAGACAGAUGUGAAAUCCCCGGGCUCAACCUGGGACCUGCAUUUGUGACUGUAUAGCUAGAGUACGGUAGAGGGGGAUGGAAUUCCGCGUGUAGCAGUGAAAUGCGUAGAUAUGCGGAGGAACACCGAUGGCGAAGGCAAUCCCCUGGACCUGUACUGACGCUCAUGCACGAAAGCGUGGGGAGCAAACAGGAUUAGAUACCCUGGUAGUCCACGCCCUAAACGAUGUCAACUGGUUGUUGGGUCUUCACUGACUCAGUAACGAAGCUAACGCGUGAAGUUGACCGCCUGGGGAGUACGGCCGCAAGGUUGAAACGUCAAAUUGAAUUGACGGG
rnacentral:rRNA from 1 species